UGUGGAUCGACAGAUCUGUGACUUGGUGAUCACUUCUGUUAUCAAAGAAACGAGAUGGACUGCACUGCAUCUCUUGCUGUUGAUUCCACUCCAAUCAAUGAUAUAAAAGAGGAUGAGCCACUUUCUCCAGUGGCUGAAACACAAACACAAACACAAACAUCUUAUGCUACUCUUGUUCGCUGGAAACCAGGUCUCCCUCCUCCCUCUAGCAAGCGUAAGACUUCAAAAGUUUGGGAUCAUUUUACUGUAAUAGAGGGUUGUGAUGCCAACAAUCCUAAAGCCGCGUGUAAUUAUUGUUCUAAGGCUUAUAAUUGCCAUUCUAAACGACAUGGCACAUCAUCGAUGAUUGGCCAUUUAAGUUCUUGCAAAAAAUUCCUCUAUGGACGUGGACCAUUGGAUAAGUCUCAAACGACACUGAGCUUUGAGAGAAAACCAGAGGGACCAUCGGAUAAGUCUCAAACGACAUUGAGCUUUGAGAGAAAACCAGAUGGAGCUAUGAAGCUCUCUUUUGUGCGCAAAACUAGUUAAGAAAAGGAAGGUGAAGGCAUGGAUCUCUUCGCCAGUUUUUAUGGUUUUUAAUGCCAUUUACGGUUUAUUAUGUGCUAGCCUCUAAGUAGCUAGUUGUAUUUACUUGCGUUUGCUUUUCAUGUUGCAUGUAUCAUAUUUAGAAUGAUGUUUAUAUUUGGUAUGUUUUAUUACGUACACUCAUGUGCCAU